rnacentral:rRNA from 1 species
GAUGAACGCUGGCGGCAUGCCUAAUACAUGCAAGUCGAGCGAGCGGACGAGAAGGUUGCUUCUCUGAUGUUAGCGGCGGACGGGUGAGUAAUACGGAGAUAACCUACCGAUAAGGCUGAGAUAACGGCGGGAAACCGGAGCUAAGACCGGAUAAUAUUUGGAACCUCAUGGUUCAAAAAUGAAAGACGGUCUUGCUGUCACUUAUAUAUGGAUACCCGCUGCAUGAGCUAGUUGGUAAGGUAACGGAUUACAAAGGCAACGAUGCAGAGGCGCCCUGAGAGGGUGAUAGGCAACACUGCAACUGAGACACGGUCCCGACUCCUGAGGGAGGCACCAGUCGGGAAUCUUCCGAAAUGGGCGAAAGCCUGACGGAGAAACGCCGCGCGAGUGAUGAACGUCUUCUCUUCGUAAACCACUGCUAUUAGGGAAGUACAUAUGUCUUAGUACCUGUGAACAUCUUGAGGCUACCCCAUCAGAAAGACCCGGCUCAAUACGCG